rnacentral:rRNA from 1 species
UACGAAGGGGGCGAGCGUUGUUCGGAUUUACUGGGCGUAAAGGGCGCGCAGGCGGCUAUUUUUGUCAGGCGUGAAAUCUCCCAGCUUAACCGAGAAAGUGCGCCGAAUACUGAGGGACUAGAGUACGGGAGAGGAAAGUGGAAUUCCUAGUGUAGCGGUGAAAUGCGUAGAUAUCAAGAGGAACACCGAUGGUGUAGACGGCUUUCUGGACCGUAACUGACGCUGAAACACGAAAGCGUGGGUAGCAAACAGG